UACGUAGGGUGCAAGCGUUAAUCGGAAUUACUGGGCGUAAAGCGUGCGCAGGCGGUUUUGUAAGUUUUGUCGUGAAAUCCCCGGGCUCAACCUGGGAAUUGCAUUUGUGACUGCACGGCUAGAGUGUGUCAGAGGGGGGUAGAAUUCCACGUGUAGCAGUGAAAUGCGUAGAGAUGUGGAGGAAUACCGAUGGCGAAGGCAGCCCCCUGGGAUAACACUGACGCUCAUGCACGAAAGCGUGGGGGAGCAAACAGG
rnacentral:rRNA from 1 species